GACGAACGCUGGCGGCGUGCCUAACACAUGCAAGUCGAACGGAGUGAUGAUUUCGGUUAUCACUUAGUGGCGAACGGGUGAGUAACGCGUGAGAAACCUGCCUUUCAGUGGGGGACAACAGUUGGAAACGACUGCUAAUACCGCAUAAUGUCAUUUGGGGGCAUCCCUGGAUGACCAAAGAUUUAUUGCUGAAAGAUGGUCUCGCGUCUGAUUAGCUAGUUGGUGAGGUAACGGCUCACCAAGGCGACGAUCAGUAGCCGGUCUGAGAGGAUGAACGGCCACAUUGGGACUGAGAUACGGCCCAG
rnacentral:rRNA from 1 species